UACGAAGGGGGCUAGUGUUGCUCGGAAUCACUGGGCGUAAAGGGUGCGUAGGCGGGUCUUUUAAGUCAGGGGUGAAAUCCUGGAGCUCAACUCCAGAACUGCCUUUGAUACUGAAGAUCUUGAGUUCGGGAGAGGUGAGUGGAACUGCGAGUGUAGAGGUGAAAUUCGUAGAUAUUCGCAAGAACACCAGUGGCGAAGGCGGCUCACUGGCCCGAUACUGACGCUGAGGCACGAAAGCGUGGGGAGCAAACAGG
rnacentral:rRNA from 1 species